GAUGAACGCUGGCGGCGUGCCUAAUACAUGCAAGUCGAACGCUGGAACUCUAGCUUGCUAGAUUGAAGGAGUGGCGAACGGGUGAGUAAUACAUAAGCAACCUACCCACGAAGACUGGGAUAAUCUCUGGAAACGGGGACUAAUACCGGAUAGGUAAUCGGAAGGCAUCUUCUGAUUAUUAAAGGUUAAAAACACUGGUGGAUGGGCUUAUGGCGCAUUAGUUAGUUGGUGAGGUAACGGCCCACCAAGACGAUGAUGCGUAGCCGGCCUGAGAGGGUGAACGGCCACAUGGGGACUGAGACACGGCCCAGACUCCUACGGGAGGCAGCAGUAGGGAAUUUUCAGCAAUGGGGGAAACCCUGACCGAGCAACGCCGCGUGAGUGAUGACGGCCUUCGGGUUGUAAAGCUCUGUUGUAAGGGAAGAACGGUAGAUAGAGAAUAUCUAAAUGACGGUACCUUACCAGAAAGCCACGGCUAACUACGUG
rnacentral:rRNA from 1 species